AUACAGAGGGUGCAAGCGUUAAUCGGAAUUACUGGGCGUAAAGCGUACGUAGGCGGUUUGGUAAGUCAGAUGUGAAAGCCCUGAGCUCAACUUGGGAACUGCAUUUGAAACUGUCUGACUAGAGUGUGAUAGAGGAUAGUGGAAUUUCCGGUGUAGCGGUGAAAUGCGUAGAGAUCGGAAGGAACACCAGUGGCGAAGGCGGCUAUCUGGAUCAACACUGACGCUGAGGUACGAAAGCGUGGGGAGCAAACAGGAUUAGAAACCCCAGUAGUCC
rnacentral:rRNA from 1 species